UACCCGCUCCCCGAGUGGUGGGGGCGGUUAUUGGGCCUAAAGCAUCCGUAGACGGCUGGGUCAGUCCCCUGUUAAAUCGAGUGAUUCAAUCGCUGGACUGCGGGGGAUACUUCCCAGCUAGGGGGCGGGAGAGGCCGGCGGUAUUCCCGGGGUAGGGGUGAAAUCCUAUAAUCCCGGGAGGACCACCAGGGGCGCAGGCUGCCGGUGGGAUCGCCCCCGCCGGUGAGGGAUGAAAGCUGGGGGAGCGAACCGG
rnacentral:rRNA from 1 species